rnacentral:tRNA from 1 species
CGGACUAUAGCUCAGUGAUAAAGCAUUUGCCUAGCAUGCAUGAGACCCUGGGUUUAAUUCCCAGUUCUGCAA